rnacentral:rRNA from 1 species
CUACCAUGCAGUCGGACGGGAGAGUACGGAAGAUCUUCGGAGAUUUUGUACAAUCCAGUGGCGGACGGGUGAGUAACACGUAGGUAAUCUGCCUUAUGGAUUGGGAUAGCACCUUGAAAAGGGUGGUAAACCCGAAUAAGUUAACCGAUAGACAUCUGUCGGAUAGGAAACAGUGAAAACUGCCAUAAGAUGAGCCUGCGGCCCAUUAGCUAGUUGGUGAGGUAAGAGCCCACCAAGGCAGCGAUGGGUAGCCGGCCUGAGAGGGUGAUCGGCCACAUUGGAACUGAGAAACGGUCCAGACUCCUACGGGAGGCAGCAGUGGGGAAUAUUGCGCAAUGGGGGGAACCCUGACGCAGCGACGCCGCGUGGAUGAAGAAGGCUUUCGGGUUGUAAAGUCCUAAGAAUGGGGAAGAAGAAGACGGUACCCAUAGAAAAGCCCCGGCUAACUACGUGCCAGCAGCCGCGGUAACACGUAGGGGGCGAGCGUUGUCCGGAGUAACUGGGCGUAAAGGGCGUGUAGGCGGGUAUAAAAGUGUAGUGUAAAAGCCUCGGGUAACCCCGGGAGAUGCACUACAAACUAUGUACCUUGAGGAAAGGAUAGGGAAGCGGAAUUCCCGGUGUAGCGGUGAAAUGCGUAGAUAUCGGGAGGAAUACCGGUGGCGAAGGCGGCUUCCUGGACUUAUCCUGACGCUGAGGCGCGAAAGCGUGGGUAGCAAACAGGAUUAGAUACCCUGGUAGUCCA